rnacentral:rRNA from 1 species
CGCAUCUGUGCAUGCAGCAUAUCAAUAAGCGGAGGAAAAGAAACUAACAAGGAUUCCCCUAGUAACGGCGAGUGAAGCGGGAAGAGCUCAAAUUUGAAAUCUUAAAGGGUUUCCCUUUACGAAUUGUAGUUUAAAGAAGUGUUUUCUGUUGAGGUUUUGGUAAAAGUUCUUUGGAAUAGGACAUCAUAGAGGGUGAGAAUCCCGUAUUUGACCUUUACUUUCAACUUUGUGAUACACUUUCAAAGAGUCGGAUUGUUUGGGAAUGCAGUCCAAAAUGGGUGGUAAAUUUCAUCUAAAGCUAAAUAUUGGCGAGAGACCGAUAGCGAACAAGUACCGUGAGGGAAAGAUGAAAAGAACUUUGAAAAGAGAGUUAAACAGUACGUGAAAUUGUCAAAAGGGAAGCGUUUGACACCAGUGUUGUUUUUCUGAAAAUCAAUUAAAGAACUGUUUAUGCUAAGCUGUUUAGACUUUAUCAGCUAACUGUUUAGUUUUGAGCUUUUCUUUAAUGCACUUUUCAGUUAACAAGUCAACAUCAUUUCUUUUGCUGUAAAAAAGCUUGAGGAAGGUGGCUUGAGAUUCGUCUUAAGUGUUUAUAGCCUCUUGCCUAUGCAGUCGGAGAGAUUGAGGUCUGCAGCGUAGAUCCUUCGGGGCUAAAUGCAUUUGUGCUAAGUUAUAGCAUUUUAUAGACAACUUGUUGACUAUGAUUUGUCUUGUAGCUUACUCGCUUAUGUUAUUUUACCUACGCUUAGGAUGUUGAGCGCAUGUCUCUCUCU